rnacentral:rRNA from 1 species
GAAUCAUUGGGCGUAAAGCGCCUGUAGGUUGUUUAAUAAGUCCGUUGUUAAAGACUAGGGCUUAACCCUAGGAAAGCGAUGGAAACUGAUAGACUUGAGUAUGGCAGGGGUAGAGGGAAUUUCUAGUGUAGCGGUGAAAUGCGUAGAUAUUAGAAAGAACACCGGUGGCGAAAGCGCUCUACUGGACCAUUACUGACACUGAGAGGCGAAAGCUAGGGGAGCGAAAGGGAUUAGAUACCCCUGUAGUCCUAGCCGUAAACGAUGGAUACUAGAUGUUGUGCAAUUUGGACAGUAUCGUAGCUAACGCGUUAAGUAUCCCGCCUGGGGAGUACGCUCGCAAGGGUGAAACUCAAAGGAAUUGACGGGGGCCCGCACAAGCGGUGGAGCAUGUGGUUUAAUUCGAUGCAACGCGAAGAACCUUACCAGGGCUUGACAUACUACAGAUCUUUUUGAGAAAGAAGAGUGCCUUCGGGAAUGUAGAUACAGGUGGUGCAUGGCUGCCGUCAGCUCGUGUCGUGAGAUGUUGGGUUAAGUCCCGCAACGAGCGCAACCCUCGUUUUUAGUUGCCAAUUUAUUGGGAUCUCUAGAAAGACUGCCGGUGACAAACCGGAGGAAGGUGAGGAUGACGUCAAGUCAGCAUGCCCCUUAUGUCCUGGGCCACACACGUGCUACAAUGGUAAAGACAAAGAGUCGCCAAUUCGCGAGAAUGAGCUAAUCUCAUAAACUUUAUCUAAGUUCGGAUUGUAGGCUGCAACUC